GACGAACGCUGGCGGCGUGCUUAACACAUGCAAGUCGAGCGGUAAGGCCCCAGCUUGCUGGGGUACACGAGUGGCGAACGGGUGAGUAACACGUGGGUGACCUGCCCCGCACUUCGGGAUAAGCCUGGGAAACUGGGUCUAAUACCGGAUAGGACCGCACCGUGAGGGUGUGGUGGAAAGUUUUUCGGUGUGGGAUGGGCCCGCGGCCUAUCAGCUUGUUGGUGGGGUAAUGGCCUACCAAGGCGGCGACGGGUAGCCGGCCUGAGAGGGUGGACGGCCACAUUGGGACUGAGACACGGCCCAGACUCCUACGGGAGGCAGCAGUGGGGAAUAUUGCACAAUGGGCGGAAGCCUGAUGCAGCGACGCCGCGUGGGGGAUGACGGCCUUCGGGUUGUAAACUCCUUUCACCAUCGACGAAGGUUUUCUGACGGUAGAUGGAGAAGAAGCACCGGCUAACUACGUG
rnacentral:rRNA from 1 species